rnacentral:rRNA from 1 species
UACGUAGGGGGCUAGCGUUGUCCGGAAUCAUUGGGCGUAAAGAGCGUGUAGGCGGCUUGAUAAGUCUGCUGUGAAAGUCCAGGGCUCAACCCUGGAAUGCCGGUGGAAACUGUCGAGCUAGAGUCCGGAAGAGGCGAGUGGAAUUCCUGGUGUAGCGGUGAAAUGCGCAGAUAUCGGGAAGAACACCUAUGGCGAAGGCAGCUCUCUGGGACGGUACUGACGCUGAGACGCGAAAGCGUGGGGAGCGAACAGG